rnacentral:misc_RNA from 1 species
AGACUAUUUAUGUUGUGACGCAGGUUCAUUAUUUAUUCUUAACUAAAACGCCAGUUCAGUCACGGAUAGCGAAUGUUAUGAAGGACGUUGCUAGCUAACACGUUUCUGCCCCUAAUCGUGUUAGAGCUGUUGUCCCUAUUCGAUAUCCUUACGUUAAUUUGCCAUAUUUUUUGUUAUGGACAAGUUCUACUUCUUAAUCGCAAGCCUAGUUUUAUAUACAGGUAUAAUAGGGUUAAUCUCAUUUCAUUUAAUAUGCAUGAUUUAUAAUGCCAAAUCGCCUCUGUUUCAAAUGUAGGGGUGACAUUAUUGCAUUGAAAUAUAACAACUUAAUGUUUCAUAUUUCUAU